GGUGACCUUGAGUCCCUCCUUUGCUGUGAGAGCUCAACAGAUAUUCUGCUGAAUAGAGCAGAAAUAAAGCUCCUCGUGCUUGCUGCCAAGUUGCUACACUAGAAGAUCAGCUCUUCAGUGUGGCCAGAGACUUUGUAUACCAGCUUGAACAUCUGGAAGUCACAGUUCACGUACUGUUGAAUCCUGGCUUGGAGAAUUUUGAGCAUUACUUUACUAGCGUGUGAUCAGAUCAGAUCAGUCACUCAGUUGUGUCCGACUCUUUGCGACCCCAUGAAUCGAAGCACGCCAGGUCUCCCUGUCCAUCACCAACUCCCGGAGUUCACUGAGACUCACGUCCAUUGAGUCAGCGAUGCCAUCCAUCGUGUGAGAUGAGUACAAUUCUGCACUCCAAGGCCAAAUUUGCCUGUUACUCCAGGUGGAUUCUUUACCACUGAGCCACCAGAGAAGUUCCUGGUGUGUGGAUCACAACAAACUAUGGAAAAUUCUUAAAGAGGUGGAAAUACCAGACCACCUUACCUGCCUCCUGAGAAACCUGUAUGUAGGUCAAGAAGCAACAGUUAGAACUGAACAUGGAACAACUGUCUGGUUUAAAAUUGACAAAGGAGUAUGACAAGGCUGUAUGUUGUCACCUGCUUAUUUAAACUCUAUGCAGAGUACAUCAGGCAAAAUGCCAGGCUGGAUGAAUUACAAGCUGGAAUAAAGAUUGCUAGGAGAAAUAUUAACAACAUCUCAGAUUUUCAGAUGAUACCACCCUAAUAGCAGAAAGCGAAGAGGAACUAAAGAGCCUCUUGAUGAAGGUCAAAGAGGAGAAUGAAAAAAACUGGCCUAAAGCUCAACAUUCAAAAAACUAAGAUCAUAGCAUCCAUUCCCAUCACUUCUUGGCAAACAGAAGGGGAAAAGUGGAAGCAGUGAUGGAUUUUAUUUUCUUGGGCUCCUAAAUCAUUACGGAUGGUGACUGCAAUCAUGAAAUUAAAAGAUGCUUGCUCCUUGGAAGAAAAGUUAUGACAGACCUAGACAGUGUAUUAAAAAGCAGAAACAUCACUCUGCCUACAAAGUUCUGUAUAGUCAAAGCUGUGGUUUUUCCAGUAGUCACAUAUGGAUGUGAGAGUUGGACCAUAAAGAAAGCUGACUUCCAAAGAACUGAUGCUUUUGAACUGUGGUGUUGGAGAAGACUCUUGAGAGUCCCUUGGACUGCAAGGAGAUCUGCCCAGUUGAUCCUAAAGGAAAUCAACCCUGAAUAUUCAUUGGAGGAACUGAGGCUGAAGUGAAACUGCAGUACUUUGGCCACCUGCUGUGACAAGCUGACUUAUUGGAAAGACACUAAUGCUGGGAAAGAUUGAGGGCAGAAGGAGAAGAGGGCAGCAGAGACUGAGAUGCUUAGAUAGCAUCACCAGUUUAAUGGACAUGAAUGUGAGCAAACUCCAGGAGAUACUGAAGGACAGGGGGGCAUGGCAGCGAUCUUUCAUUAAUUUAACCUUACCAAAUGUAAUUCCCAAGUACAGAACAGUCCAGGGGUUUUCCUUAGAGUAGCACAUUGUCAACAGAUGAGGUGGAAUAAGAAUUGGUGUUAGAUCAGCCCAACUUAGGCCCGCAGGGACCUUCUGAGAAUAAUUUGGGCCUAACUUAGGACUUCUGGGAUUGCUGAUGGGAAAUCUUUCAACUUUACUAAGGAGUUGGGCUAGCAGAGUUUUGACACCUGCAGGUGAGUCCUAGAGGCUCCAAAUAGGCAAUAUUAUGCUGCUCUGAAAUUCUGAAACUAUUUGGCCCUCUCUAUUAAAGAAGGAAACAUUAUAGAUC
ensembl:lncRNA